rnacentral:rRNA from 1 species
UACGAAGGGGGCUAGCGUUGUUCGGAAUUAUUGGGCGUAAAGGGCGCGUAGGCGGCUAUUCAAGUGGCGGGUGAAAUCCCUCGGCUUAACCGAGGAACUGCCUGCCAGACUGGAUGGCUUGAGACCGGGAGAGGUGAGUGGAAUUCCCAGUGUAGCGGUGAAAUGCGUAGAUAUUGGGAGGAACACCAGUGGCGAAGGCGGCUCACUGGACCGGUACUGACGCUGAGGCGCGAAAGCGUGGGGAGCAAACAGG